UACAUGAUAUAGAUAUUCCCGUGCUGCC
rnacentral:piRNA from 1 species